rnacentral:rRNA from 1 species
UACGUAGGGUGCAAGCGUUGUCCGGAAUUAUUGGGCGUAAAGAGCUCGUAGGCGGUUUGUUGCGUCGGCUGUGAAAUCCCGAGGCUCAACCUCGGGUCUGCAGUCGAUACGAGCAAACUAGAGUGUUGCAGGGGAGACUGGAAUUCCUGGUGUAGCGGUGAAAUGCGCAGAUAUCAGGAGGAACACCGGUGGCGAAGGCGGUUCUCUGGGAAUAUCCUGACGCUGAGGAGCGAAAGUGUGGGGAGCAAACAGG